AAGAGAAAAGGCGGGUUCUUCAUGGAGAGGUUUUUUAACAUCAGUUUGGUGCUAACCAGCACAACUUUGCGUCGACCAGGAUUUUUGCCCCAUCAAUACAAAGAAAAUAUUGAAUACAUCCUGCCUGAGUCACAAUAAGAAUUGUCCUACGCUCGAGUCAACGUGGAGUCGAGUACAGGUUUUCAUCAGGAGAUGUCAGCUGGACAAGAGAAUGUUGCUUGCUUGGAAGGCAUCAGCAUAAUGGUCAUUCAAUCGCUGUUUAAAAUGCCACGUUUUCAGUGCAAGGUGUUGACCAAAACCUAUACCUCAUCGAUACGCCCUGAUUCACAGUUGAAGUGGAGUAGGUCUACGCUAGAGUACCCAUCACCAUCCAUCCAGGCGGACUGGUCAACCGAACGAGGAGAGACGCAGGUUUUCAUCAGGAGGUGAUGGCAGGUCAGGUGCAUAGGAGAAUGUUCUUUGGAAGGCAACCCUGUAUGACUGUCUUUUGGAGAGAUGAGAUCUGAUCUGAUGUCGAUUUCCCACUUGAUAGACCCCCAAAAAAGUGUGGACGGGGGGACGAAUGUCCAAAUCCGACACGUCGACACACCGUGGUUUAAAAGUUCACCCGAUGCAGUCAUCUUUUUGCAUGUGCAAAAAUAAAAUAAGAUUGUAAUAUUACAUAGAAAUCAGCAAGCGAGAUUGAAUUUCACAACUUGUUAU